CCCGACUGCUAUCUGGGUGAGGAUAAGCCAUGCGAGUUGUAUGGGAUACCUAAAUUUCCCAUGGCAAACUGCUUAGUAACACAUGAUCAACUUACCCUAUGGAGAAAAAUAACCUCGGGAAACUGAGGAUAAUGUUUCAUAGGUGAAUAGGCUUGGAAAAGUUUUUCAUCGAAAAGGAUAAGAAAAAUGGUUUUUAUCUGCCAUAGGAUAGGAUCGUGGUCGAUUAUGGUUGUUGGUGAGGUAACGGCCCACCAAGCCGAUAAUCGAUAGGGGCCGUGAGAGCGGGAGCCCCAAGAUGGGUACUGAGACAGCGACCCAGGCCUUACGAGGCGCAGCAGGCGCGGAACCUCCGCAAUACACGAAAGUGUGACGGGGUUACCCAAAGUGUUCUUUUAAGAACUGUGGUAGGUGAGUAAUAUCCCCUACUAGAAAGGAGAGGGCAAGGCUGGUGCCAGCCGCCGCGGUAAAACCAGCUCUUCAAGUGGUCGGGAUAAUUAUUGGGCUUAAAGUGUCCGUAGCCGGUUUAGUAAGUUCCUGGUAAAAUCGGGUAGCUUAACUAUCCGCAUGCUAGGAAUACUGCUAUACUAGAGGGCGGGAGAGGUCUGAGGUACUACAGGGGUAGGGGUGAAAUCUUAUAAUCCUUGUAGGACCACCAGUGGCGAAGGCGUCAGACUGGAACGCGCCUGACGGUGAGGGACGAAAGCCAGGGGAGCGAACCGGAUUAGAUACGUUGGUGCUAUUUGAAUGUAAUGUAAGAAUUACUAACACAAUGCUAAAAACCCGGGUAGUCCUGGCCGUAAACGAUGCAUACUAGGUGAUGAUACGGCCAUGAGCCGUGUCAGUGCCGUAGGGAAACCGUUAAGUGUGCCGCCUGGGAAGUACGGUCGCAAGGCUAAAACUUAAAGGAAUUGGCGGGGGAGCACCACAAGGGGUGAAGCCUGCGGUUCAAUUGGAUUCAACGCCGG
rnacentral:rRNA from 1 species